rnacentral:rRNA from 1 species
GACGAACGCUGGCGGCGUGCUUAACACAUGCAAGUCGAACGGAAAGGCCCUGCUUUUGUGGGGUGCUCGAGUGGCGAACGGGUGAGUAACACGUGAGUAACCUGCCCUUGACUUUGGGAUAACUUCAGGAAACUGGGGCUAAUACCGGAUAGGAGCUCCUGCUGCAUGGUGGGGGUUGGAAAGUUUCGGCGGUUGGGGAUGGACUCGCGGCUUAUCAGCUUGUUGGUGGGGUAGUGGCUUACCAAGGAUUUGACGGGUAGCCGGCCUGGGAGGGUGACCGGCCCCAUGGGGCUUGGGAACGGCGCCAGGUCCAAACGGGGGGAAGGGGGGGGAAAUUUGUCCAAAGGGGCGGAGGCCGGGAAGAAGAACGCCGGGGGGGGAAGGACGGCUUGCGGGUUGGAACCCGUUUUCGCUUGUGCCGAGGCGUGAUGACGGGAACUGGGGAAAAAGCACCGGGUAACUUCGUG